rnacentral:snRNA from 1 species
GGAUGUAAGGGUGAUCUGGCUGCAACAUCUGUCACCCCAUUGAUCGCCAGGGUUGAUCCAACUGAUCUGGCUGGCUAGGCGGGGGUCCCUUCCUCCCUCACUACUCCACACGCGUCCCUCCUGAAGCUGUGAGCUUGGUCGAAGAGGAUGACCUUCCCCGAUAGAGGAGGACCAUUCAUAGGUCAAGGGUAUUCGAGUAGCUGCGCCUCUCUGUUAGAACCUCCAAACAAGCUCUCAAGAAUGGCUGUUCCUUGCCUGGGAAGGAAUUCCAUGCACAUGCUUUGAAAAGCAGUUCAUUAAGUUCUUCAAA